GACGAACGCUGGCGGCGUGCCUAAUACAUGCAAGUAGGACGCUGAAGGAGGAGCUUGCUUCUCUGGAUGAGUUGCGAACGGGUGAGUAACGCGUAGGUAACCUGCCUGGUAGCGGGGGAUAACUAUUGGAAACGAUAGCUAAUACCGCAUAAUAGUAGAUGUUGCAUGACAUUUGCUUAAAAGGUGCAAUUGCAUCACUACCAGAUGGACCUGCGUUGUAUUAGCUAGUUGGUGGGGUAACGGCUCACCAAGGCGACGAUACAUAGCCGACCUGAGAGGGUGAUCGGCCACACUGGGACUGAGACACGGCCCAGACUCCUACGGGAGGCAGCAGUAGGGAAUCUUCGGCAAUGGACGGAAGUCUGACCGAGCAACGCCGCGUGAGUGAAGAAGGUUUUCGGAUCGUAAAGCUCGGUUGUAAGAGAAGAACGAGUGUGAGAGUGGAAAGUUCACAAUGUGACGGUAUCUUACCAGAAAGAGACGGCUAACUACGUG
rnacentral:rRNA from 1 species